GAUGAACGCUGGCAGCGUGCCUAACACAUGCAAGUCGAGCGGCAGCGAGGGGUGCUUGCACCCUGUCGGCGAGCGGCGGACGGCUGAGUAACGCGUGGGAACGUGCCCCAAAGUGAGGAAUAACUGCCCGAAAGGGUAGCUAAUACCGCAUAUUAUCUUCGGAUCAAAGGAUUUAUCCGCUUUGGGAGCGGCUCGCGUCGGAUUAGGUAGUUGGUGAGGUAAUGGCUCACCAAGCCGACGAUCCGUAGCUGGUCUGAGAGGAUGACCAGCCAGACUGGAACUGAGACACGGUCCAGACUCCUACGGGAGGCAGCAGUGAGGAAUCUUCCACAAUGGGCGAAAGCCUGAUGGAGCAACGCCGCGUGCAGGACGAAGGCCUUCGGGUUGUAAACUGCUUUUAUAAGUGAGGAAUAUGACGGUAACUUAUGAAUAAGGAUCGGCUAACUACGUG
rnacentral:rRNA from 1 species